UACGUAGGUGACCAGCGUUGUCCGGAUUUACUGGGCGUAAAGAGCGCGCAGGCGGUCGUUCAAGUCGAGUGUGAAAGCCCCCGGCUCAACUGGGGAGGGUCACUUGAUACUGAUCGACUCGAAGGCAGGAGAGGGAAGCGGAAUUCCCGGUGUAGUGGUGAAAUGCGUAGAUAUCGGGAGGAACACCAGUGGCGAAGGCGGCGCUCUGGACCGAGACUGACGCUGAGGCGCGAAAGCGUGGGGAGCAAACAGGG
rnacentral:rRNA from 1 species